UACAGAGGGUGCGAGCGUUAAUCGGAAUUACUGGGCGUAAAGCGCGCGUAGGCGGCUUUGCAAGCCGGAUGUGAAAUCCCCGGGCUUAACCUGGGAACUGCAUUCGGGACUGCAUUGCUAGAGUAUGGGAGAGGGAAGUGGAAUUUCAGGUGUAGCGGUGAAAUGCGUAGAUAUCUGAAGGAACAUCAGUGGCGAAAGCGACUUCCUGGACCAAUACUGACGCUCAGGCACGAAAGCGUGGGGAGCAAACAGG
rnacentral:rRNA from 1 species